CGGGGGGAGCAAGCGUUGUUCGGAUUUACUGGGCGUAAAGGGCGCGUAGGCGGCCAGCACAAGUCAGUUGUGAAAUCUCCGGGCUUAACUCGGAACGGUCAACUGAUACUGUGCGGCUAGAGUGCAGAAGGGGCAACUGGAAUUCUCGGUGUAGCGGUGAAAUGCGUAGAUAUCGAGAGGAACACCUGCGGCGAAGGCGGGUUGCUGGGCUGACACUGACGCUGAUGCGCGAAAGCCAGGGGAGCGAACGGGAUUAGAUACCCCGGUAGUCCUGGCCUUAAACGAUGGAUGCUUGGUGUCUGGAGUUUUAUAGUCUCCGGGUGCCGUAGCUAACGCGUUAAGCAUCCCGCCUGGGGAUACGGUCGCAAGACUG
rnacentral:rRNA from 1 species